CUGGUAAAACUCCUUUCUGAAAUCAUCCCAAGAGAUAACAUAACCUUGUGAUUGCCUAUCGAUAUAGGAUUUCCAUCAAUGUCAAGCCUAACCUUCUAGUAGAAAGAUAGCAAGGCUCACCUUCUGCUCAUCAGUACUUUUCAUUAAUGCAAACACCCUCUCCAUUUUUUAGAUUCAGUUUUCUAUCCCUAUUGGAUCUGUAGUACCCAAAAAUUCUAUUGCCCCC
rnacentral:lncRNA from 1 species